rnacentral:rRNA from 1 species
GAUGAACGCUGGCGGUAUGCUUAACACAUGCAAGUCGAACGGUCACUUCGGUGAUAGUGGCGGACGGGUGAGUAACGCGUGAGAAUCUGUCUUCAGGUCGGGGACAACAGUUAGAAAUGACUGCUAAUACCGGAUGUGCCUUUGGGUGAAAGAUUUAUUGCCUGAAAAAGAGCUCGCGUCAGAUUAGCUAGUAGGUGGUGUAAGAGACUACCUAGGCUCCGAUCUGUAGCUGGUCUGAGAGGACGAUCAGCCACACUGGAACUGAGACACGGUCCAGACUCCUACGGGAAGCAGCAGUGGGGAAUUUUCCGCAAUGGGCGAAAGCCUGACGGAGCAAUACCGCGUGAGGGACGAAGGCUUUUGGGUCGUAAACCUCUUUUCUCAAGGAAGAUGAUGACGGUACUUGAGGAAUAAGCAGCGGCUAACUCUGUG